rnacentral:rRNA from 1 species
UACGAAGGGGGCUAGCGUUGUUCGGAAUUACUGGGCGUAAAGCGCACGCAGGCGGAUUUAUAAGUCAGGGGUGAAAUCCCGGGGCUCAACCUCGGAAUUGCCCUUGAUACUGUCUAUCUUGAGUCCGGGAGAGGUGAGUGGAAUUCCUGGUGUAGAGGUGAAAUUCGUAGAUAUUAGGAAGAACACCAGUGGCGAAGGCGGCUCACUGGCCCGGUACUGACGCUGAUGUGCGAAAUCUUGAGUAGCAAACAGA